GGAUUUCAAUUACGCGAGCGUACAAAUUCAGUCGAUACGCAUUUGAAAACCAAGAAUCUUACAAAAGUCUACUUGAAACCAAAGGUGAUCAUUCAACUCUCCACUGAUCUUGGGUGAGAAUAAAUUUGAUUUUUGUCUUUAAUAUAGAACUACUGACCCUACUAACCAAUUACAUAGUAUUUUUAACCAAACCAUAUAGGUCAGUUGUGUAAUAUAUAGAUUUACUUGUUUGAUUAUUGACAGGUUAAACUAACUUCUUUUGUGAUUCCACGAGAAAGUUCUAUAUUUUUGCCUAGAACGUACAAGGUUGAUGGUGUAUCAAAUUUGUUAUCCAUUAAGUUCAAGAGUAAAACUUUAUAUUAAGUCUACCAGGAUACUACAUGAAGAACUGCUAACAGCAUAUUGCUAAACGGUGGAUCAUUUUCAGUAUCAUAGCAAUUCUGUUCUUCCUAUCCAAACAAUGUACAUGCAGAGCUGAAAAUGAAAAAAUAAAACUUAAACACAAUUAAA